UGCCUUCAAACAGAUAAGUAAACCUUAGAAAAGGUUUCUCUGUGCAGUGCGCGUCCUGUUUCUGGCGCCGCUAGAUGGCAGCAACGGAUCACGGCGAACUGCGCCCCUCAUCUCCCCCGCCCUUCCCGCUUGAAAAAAAUAAGCUGAGCAGUUUCAACCCAGAAAAGAGGCUGCUUAGGUUACACUGGGUCUGGGCGGGGGAGCAGGCCAGCCUGGAGGAGAGGCAGCCUCCCACAGGAUUCCAGAUGCAAACUCACCUGCAGACGAAGCCCUCUGCUUUCCUGCUGGGCCCGCUCAGAGGGUGGUGCCUGGGCACCGCUGCAGCUGGCACUUCUCCCCUCAGUAGGCUCCUGUCAUUUGCCUUCCCAGUUUAUCUGGAGUUUCAAGGACCUGCACCGCCGGAGUACUCCUUGAAGCUACCCGCAUUCCACUGUCAAGCAAGGGGCCAGAUGUGGCUGAACCCAGGAAGCCAGUCUUCGCUGCACUGCUUUCUCCCAGCGGUAACUACGAACUAGAUCGUGUGAUUAUUUCGUGAGGUUUUGCUGGGUCAAGGUGCAUUGGAAAGAUACUGCUCCAUUUGGCCUAGGUGCUUGAACAUCUGUUUAAACUCAGGGAGCCCAGGGACUGCACGAAGGACAGACGCGCUCGCCGAGGCGCCGCCCCCAAUCAAUCUGAGAAGGAGGAAGACGACUUUGCAGGAAAGCCAAGUUCAAAGGGAACCCAGGCCCACUCACCCGCUGGAAGUUGGAAACAAAGGAGAAGUUAAUCAACACCAUUUUAAGGAAGAGAGCGUAAGUAAUUUUUCAAAGUCCAGAAACAAAGCGAGUGGCUUUGUUGCCAGAGAGGGAGUCUGCGGUGCGGACGUGGCACACCGGGGCGCGUGAAUUCUGCACCCCGUCUCCCGCGGAGAAAACCCACAGAAAAUCCCGCGGCCUAAAAACCACCUCGGCCGCGUUUUUUUCCAGCACGAAGGGCGGGGAGACCGGGGCCGAGGCGCUGCGCGAGCCCACACUGCCAUCUGCCGUCCACGGAGACUGAGAGCCGCCAACAGCACAGAAACCCGUCUCUUCCACAGCCGCUCUCCUAGAGGCCUGGAGGUCCUGCACGGUGCAGCCGAUCGCGACGAAAUCGAAAAGAGGACGAGGCACUGGCACGGACCAAAAGGCAUCAGCCCCAAAGCCCUGGGUCUCCGCGGAGACCUCCGGGCUUCCGCCCUGGGAACCAUGGCAACGGCCGCCGGAAGCCGCAGCGCCACAGCGAAGCCCCGCCCCGGGGCGACCGGACUACACGCGGAUUGGCGGGUUCCGGGCCUGAGCGUAGGCGGCCGCUGAGGUCCAUUCCGCUCUGCGUCACAGAAUUCUCCCUGAAGGGGGACUUGCAGCGGGGUUGCGAGUUGCUGACCAAAGGGCCUGAGGGGGCAAGUUCCGCACCCGCUGCCAGCCCGCCCGAACCUCCCAGACCGAUACCUGAGAGCCUGACUGAAUAGUCUAGUCUCCGUCCGUGACCAUGAGCGGUUGGCUUGUGGCUUCCCGCACCACGGCCACAGUGCACACUCGCCAGUCGCCCUGCUCCCCUCCACCACCUCCCUGAUGAUUCCUGGAGAGGGAGGCAUCUGGCGGGAAUUCCCUGAGCUGCUCACACCCAGAGGCCCCAGUGCAUCUGUGGUCUCUGCGCUCCCUCAACAGCGGCUCCUCCUCUGCCCCCCUUUUCUCAGUCUCUGCCCCCGGGGAGGAACGAAGCCUCCUUGCCUCUUGUUCUCUUUAACCAGGCGCUGUUUCAUUCCCUCGGGGUGGGGCUUUGAAGACACAGCACAGACUGGCAGAGACAGGCCGAGGGGAGGCAGGGAUGAGGGUUUCCACUGAGGUGGACACAGCCUGCUGGGGCCAGUCACCGCCUCCCCAGGCGAGGCUUAACCACACAGACCGCACUGCCAGGGUCUCAGCCGCCAGGCCGCCGCAGGCAGUGUUUCCAGAGCAGAAGAGGGCACCUGGAGAAAACGCAGAAAGCCCAAGUUUCCUUGGACCUCCAGAUGUGCCCAGGUCUCUGGCCUCCCUAGGCCCACCUGCGCCCUGGGGCCCUGACACCCCUUCUGGCCCGCUGAGGGUCUGAUAUAGGAGCUCAGCAGAGUCCACAUUCACAAGGGAGUUCUGAUCGCUGGUUUAUGGCUCAGCCUCUCCGUGCCUGCCCUGAGGGCUUAAUAGCUGGGCCUCCUUGCCACCAGGCAGGACACAUGCAGGCCCAGCUCAUGGCCCAGGCUUCCUUUUCCUGAGACUUGCAACUCGGACUGGCCAGGGCCACAGAAGAGGAAACCGACUUCCAGCUUCUGAUCCCUCCCUCUGCUCUAUCCUCCUGGACAGAGAAUCCUCAGGGCCAGACAUUCCAUCUGGAGAGGAGCCCAGAGCAGCAGGCGUCAGGAUCCAGCCUCACGCUGGAGCACCAGCCCCCACAUGCACUGUGCUCAUCACGAGCUUGUGUGUGCUCCACAACAGGAUGCUACACCCCACUACCACACCUUCCCUCCUCUCCUGCAGCUUUGCACUCUGUUCUGAGGUAGGUGGGCCCUGGGAUCUCCUGACACUGCUCAUGUAGCUCUUUUCUGUGGGAGAUGUGGCGUCCCCCAACCCACACCACUGCAUGUCAGAGACAGGAAUGAGGACCCCAGAGAUGCCACAAGCCUUCCUGCCACUCCAUCGCGGCCUAAAGUCUCCACUAUGCCUACCUCCCCUUGGGAGAAACACAGUGAGGGUCCUCCCAGCUCCCUGUCUGCUCUGGAUCAAUUCGGAAUGCUGGCACGUGCAUCCGUUACUUAGCAGAACAGGAGAUGGCACAGCGUGGAGAGUCCACGCCCUCUGCUUCUACCACACUGUCUGUGUGACACCUGUCCAGCCAGGGUUCCUGCCAGUGCAGCGUGCGAGACCAAACUGCUGUGCUACCCUCCCCUGCCUGCUCAAAGUCGCCAGCCCAUCCCGCCUGCAUGGAGCAUUCCCCAGCUCAAAUGUCCAAGCAGAUUCACGUUGCCGAAGCCACGUGCCCUUUGCUGCCCGGGACAUGGACAACACCCCGUUCCAAGGCCCUCACCUUUCUCACGGUCUGUGGCAGCCAGUCCCUGGCCCCCCUACUCCCCCUCUGAGCGAUGCCUCUGCAGUCUCCACGUUGGUCACUUUCCUUUGCUCCCGUCUACAAUCUCGGUUCCUUCUUGCUUCCAACCUUGCCCUGGGCUAACCUCACCCUGUUCCCGAUCCUGGGUGGUCACUGCACCACCCAGGCCUUUUACCAAGAGGACCUGAGUUCACCCUUCUGCCUUGUAUGCCGACGGGUUCUCUGACCACCCACUCUCCGGGGGUAAUCUCAGCUGAGCCCCACGCCCCAACGGGCUAGGUAUCUUAUGUGCAUCUGCACCCACAUAUUCCACAGGCCUUCAAGUAACCAGGUGACCCUAAAGCGGAGUCCCUUCUGACAUGGGUGGUGCUGACACCCACACAAUUCCUGAAACUCCUACGGUUGCCCUUAGCACUCCAUGAAUGCCCUGGAAUUCUCUGGAAGAGGCCAGUCACAGUGUCACAUAGCCUGAGGGCUGUGGAAAGUCUCUUGUGAGGGCUUCAUCCCAGGCAGAAACUCCCAGAUGCGUCCUGAACAGAGGUCCUGGGUUUGGUGGCCCCCACCAUGAAUUGGGAUGAGAGGACCUGGACCUGAGGAGGCUGCACCUUCAUAUCCUCUAUGAACAGUGUGCGGAGCAUGUACCUGGAGAAGCAGGAGGUUCCAAUUCUGAUACAGCAGCUCAGGACAAAAGGUGCAUCCCCUUGGAGGUGCAGAAAACAAGGGCGUGCUGAACGUUAGUUUUCACCCCGGUCUCCUGGUGCUAGGUAGCCUUGUCUCUCGGCACACAAGUUCAAUCGAUUGCACAAAUCAGAAGGGAAGAAAUGCAACACGACAACGCACCAAGAGCUGAUUCACCAACACUGGCCGACAUGACCCCUGAGCCACAUUUCGUUUUCACGAGACUAUUUUGCUCAGUCUCAGGAAUGUAUCAAAGAAUUAAUUCAGUACCUUUGCAAAUAACUCCAGUACCAGGCCGUCACAAGAAAUAAACGCGCUAUGUUUCAUCAGCAAGUGCGAGCUUCUACCAUCAACACUUUAUCUGCAGGAUCUAAAGCACACCAGCACAAUGACAAAGCCCUGCUUUUAUGUUCCAGGAGCAGCGUCCUAACAGGGCAGGUCCAUGUCCACAGCCGAGGCCUAGGCAUGGCCUGGCGGAGUUGCCAAGUCCUGGCCCCCAAUCUGUGGGGAGGGCACCCCUGUAUCUGUCCUUUAGAAUCACCCCAGGGCAGAUGUGCACACAGGCUGGUUUAGACACAUACGCACAGGAGCACGGUACCUGUGUUGCUUUAAAAUAUCAUCUUGCAGUUUUAGCUGUCUGCUGUUUAGCAUUUUGGAAGUUUUGUAUGAGGUACCUCUCUUUCGCGAGCUGCCUUUGCCUUGCUUAUCUCCUGCAGUCGUAUUUGAAUCAUUUCCAGGACUCGGCUGUGUUCAGGCCACGACUGCCCCUUUCCUACUGGAUACCCAGGUAGGCCCCAUGGGAGAGAGAAGGCCUCCUGGGGUGGAAGGAUCUGGAACCCCGUUGUCUUGGUAACCACUCUGCUGUUCCUUGCUGCUAGCUGGCUGAGCUCAGGCCAGGGUCCUCUGGGGUGAGAAGACAGCCCUCCCCAUUCUGAUGAAGCUCAGGGCUGAGGCUGGUUUCCAGGGAAACUGAAGCCUGGCCCUUGAGACUCAUGAACAGCCAAGCAUGCACUGGGAUAGAGUAUGCAGGAUGGAGUCCCGGAGCCUGCCCGUGGACCAGAAUGGUGAGCCAAUACUGAUGGGUGGAGACUCUCGACUGGGCAUGCAUACAGACACACAUGGAGACUGCACUCACCAGCACGCCUUCUGCCCAGAGGUGCACAGUGGCCGUGUCUGGCUGGAGCGUCAAACACAUGGACGAUGCAGGACCCAGAACCCGCAAAGAGAGGGGGAGAUUCCUUACUGUGGUACAAAACGAUCCCAUAGCCUCCAACCCUGACUUAUGUGCACAUAGGCAUUACAUUAUAAAAAGAGCUCUAUGGAAGUACAAUCACCACACGAUAGUAUUCAUGCAACUAAGGAUACAGCGCAGUGACUGAGACAAUCUGCAGUGAUGCAGCCACCAGCACAGAGCAGUGUAACACCAGUUCCAUCACCCGCCUGAGGACCCCUUGCUCCUGCCAGUGCUCCCUCCCCACGACACCUGGAAGCCCAGGCAACUACUGAGGUCUUCCCCAUCUCUGUAGAUUUGCCCUCCUGUACUUUUCCUCCAAAGUGCCUCCUGCAAUAUGUGCCUCCUGUGUCUGGUUCUGUCCCUUCUGUGGCAGGUAUGAGUAGGAAGGCUCUGUUUAGCGUUCUGGAAUAUUCUGCCUAUGGAGAUAACACCUUUAGUUCACUCCUGUGCUGACUGGCAGACGUGUAGUUUCUAGUCUGCGCCCGCCAUGAACAUGGCAAGGAACAUCUGAGCAUGUGACUAGUGUGGACAUACGCCUUCCUUCAAUUUCCCCACGUUUCCAUUAGUUUCUGUUACAGGACUGCACUGGCUAGAGACGGCAGUGGGACAUAGGGUAGAUGUGGUACGAGGAGAUGCCAUUCCCCUGCUCAGGAUCUGAAGUGGAAAGCUUUCAUUCUUUCACUAGCAAAUAGGAUAUGAUCUGGGGGUUUCUCAUAAAUGCCUGUUAGAGAGAGGGAGUGGGAGUGGGAGAGAGAGAGAGAUGGAAUUUUCCAAGUGGUUCAGUCCUCAAAUAGCUUGACAGCUGGCCUGGGUAAGCCCAAGGCCAGGAACCAGAAACUUCAUCAUCCUGGUCUCCCACAUGGGAGGCAGGGACCCACACACUUGGGCCAUUAUGCGCUGCAUUCCCAGGCAUCUUAGCAGGAGGCUGUGUUGCAAAUGGUGUAGCCAGAUCUUGAUCCGGUGUUCAAUAUGGGAUGGCUGCAUUGCAAGCAGCCUCUUAGCCUACUGCAGCACAAACUUAAGAAACUAGGUUCUGUUUCAUCAUGAAUGGGUCUUGCAUUUGUGUAAUGCUUUUUCUUUGCCUAUUAAUAUGGUGCUGUGAUUCUACUCUCUGUUUUAUUAACAUGUUGAAUUACUGCCAUUGAAUUUUGAAGGUGAAAUUAACCUUGCAGUCCUAGGAUCAGUCUCACUUGGUCACAUUGGAUGGUCAUAUGUGUACGAUGCUGGAUCUGGUUUGCCAAUACAUUGUGGGUGGUGUUGGCAUCGCUAUUCAUCAUCUGCUUUGGCUUACACUAUUACUGUGACGUGUGUAUUUGGCUUUAGUGGUCGUGUAGCACUAUUGUCACCCUACACGAUGGCACGUGUUCCCUUUCUUGCACGUCCCAAAAUAGUUGGGGAAGGUCUCGUAUUAUUUCUUCUACGAACGUGGACUGACUUUACCCACAAAGGAAACUGGGUCUGGGCUGUCACCCGAGGGAAGAUUUUAAAAUAGAUGCUCUCAAUUUCCUCCCUUA